GAUAGGUAGCAGUUAUCAUUUAUUUUUGGAAACCAGUUUCCUUAGAUGUUUAUGUCCACACAGAUCAAGUUGACAUCUUAAAAUAUUGGAUUGGCCACCUCCCAACUCUUCAAGGGAGGGAUCAAGUGUGCUGAGCGUGCUGCAGUGCUGGGUUUUAGGUGUUUAAUCCCUUCCCCUUUGGAAGCCUCUCUCAGUCCCCCAGUCAGAAGAGGAGGACUCUGCAUACUUGUAGCCCUUGUCUGUGUCACUUAAGUGGCCUCGUAUUGUUUUGUUAUUUUUGAUAUCCACCUUCCCAGCUGCACAUGGGCCCUUCAAGGCCACGCUUAGAAUCUUAGAAUCAUAUAUUGUUU
rnacentral:lncRNA from 1 species